GUGGGGAAUGGUAACAUACUCCUGUAAUCCCAACUGCUUGGGGGCUGAGGCAGGAGAAUCACAAGUUCAGAGUCAGCCUCAGAAACUUUAUGAGGCCCUGAGCAAGUUAGUGAGACCCUGUCUCGA
rnacentral:sRNA from 1 species